rnacentral:lncRNA from 1 species
AGCUAAAAUGUUCUCCUGUCCUCUCUCAGGGACUCGCUUCAGGCCUUUGUCUUUUGAAGUGCCCAAACCGUUGUUCCCUGUGGCAGGUGUCCCUAUGAUCCAGCACCAUAUAGAAGCCUGUGCCCAGGUCCCUGGGAUGCAGGAGAUUCUACUCAUUGGCUUCUACCAGCCUGAUGAGGCUCUCACCCAGUUCCUGGAAGCUGCACAGCAGGAGUUUAACCUUCCAGUCAGGUAUCUGCAGGAGUUCACUCCCCUUGGCACAGGGGGUGGCCUCUACCAUUUUCGGGACCAGAUCCUGGCUGGCGCACCUGAGGCCUUCUUCGUGCUCAAUGCUGAUGUCUGUUCUGACUUCCCUCUGAGUGCCAUGUUGGAUGCUCACAGGC